CUAGUUUUCAAAGUGGAGGCCCCAGACCAGAGCAUCAGUAUCUCCGGAGAACUUGUUAGAAAUGCAAAUUCCCAGGCCAGCCCAAACCUACUGAAUCCAAACCAUGGUGGUAGGGUGUUUGCCAGAAGUUUUCACUUGUCUCAGGUUCAAAGGAUUUGUUAACAAAAUAAGCCACUCGUUUUAUACAAAUAAAUAAUACAAAUAUUUAUUAGAGAAUUACAGAGCUUACUUUCAAUAUACUACCAUUAAAAGAAAAGAGAAACAAAUAGCAGAAGAUACAUCACCAAAUUGGAGUCAACAUGCAGACUUAAAUAGUGCUGGGAAGUCCCAAGUCACAGCACAUCUGGAGUCCCAUUUGGGAAAAGGUCCCAGGCAGCAUGUCUGGUCUGUGUGUGAGACCUCAAAGAUUGCAGUUCAGAGUUCCACUAUUAAUCCCAGGAUACAAAGAGAUAUCAUCACCAAUCUGUGAGCAAAGUGCAAGCCUGGGUUCACGUUAAUGCUGUUUGUUUUGUCUUGUACAACUUGGAAUGUUGUCACACCUGGGGCUUGGUUGGCCAGCCCCCCUCCAGGGGCUCAACCAUCUCAAGAUUCACCUCCCAUCUUAUCUAUGGCGCUGCCAGUCUUGCACUCACAGCAGGCACUCACUCCUGGUCACUCACAGUCAGGGCAGUGUCCAGGCAGGUUAGAAGCAAGGUCAGAGGCCUGUUUUUAGCUUUGUCUCUGAAGCCUAAGCAAGACUGACUAUGUAACGUCCCUAACAUGGGGUUAGCAAUAAGUGCUUUAAAAAGCUAUGCAGGAGAUUCUCAUGUAGCCAGUGUCUGACAGCCACUACCUUAGAAUAAUUAUUUGCCGGUUUCUGGUGGCUUCUUUUCUUCCAGGCAGUGUUAGGUAGAGCCCAGGGUUUGGAAUCGGAGUCCUUGGUGCCAUCUUCUGACCUCAGCAUGUCAUCUGUCACAUCUUGGCCAACUGACCAACCCCUAACUCUGCGGUCCUAAUUUCUGCACAGGUAAAAUGGGAUGUUACUUGAUAUGAUUGUUUAAAGGGUACAUGAGAUGAGACCAGCCAAAUGGCAACUCAUCUGCCCCACUGCACGCAAGUACUGAACAAAGCCCGCUCGGCCUGAAAGUCUGCAUCUCAGCCGCGUGGCCAUGGGUCACUCUGGUGUGCACAGUCACCCUAUCUUCAAU
rnacentral:lncRNA from 1 species